CCCCUUUCAUCGCGCGGUCAUACUGCCUAUAUGUAUCCCUGUCGAGCAAUCGACUAUGGCGCUAGAGGGCGCUGCGAAAUAAGCGUUGUGGACCCGGGGGCAGUACCCGGCGCCUCCACCAGUUUCGCCGGGAAUGCCAAUCGGUUUUCCCGGCAUAUGGGGGCGAAUCAGGAUCGACACGCGUGGUAAAGGCAGAGGUCCGCGCCCGGCAUGGUUCCGCCGUUAUCGGGCCGAAUCGCUAAAUGCGAAUGAUAACGACGAGAUGGUUGCUGUCGCUGCGUAAGUGGCCUCAGUAGCAAAGUCGGAAUUCCUGGAAACCUCAUCCGUUUCCAGGUGGGGUUUGGGGGACCCAGCAACAGAACCCCCCACU
rnacentral:tmRNA from 1 species